rnacentral:rRNA from 1 species
ACGUCSUGCGGSCUUUUAUCACAAACAUGGCUCCUWGUAGUGAUGAGAUAAGGAGUCGGACCUGCCCGGUGAAGUUUUUUAACGGCCGCGGUACUCUGACCGUGCAAAGGUAGCAUAAUCAUUUGCCUUAUAAUUGAAGGCUAGUAUGAAUGGUUUGACAAGAAUAUGGCUGUCUCUUCAUGAUUUGGUAGAAUUUUAUUUUUAGGUGAAAAAGCCUUAAUUUGAUUAAUAGACAAGAAGACCCUAUCGAGCUUAAAAGAAUUUGACGGGCUUUUAGGUGGCUUAUUAGUUUAAAAGGCAUGGCUGUCAAAAUUUUUGGUUGGGGCGACUGAGGAACAAUAGGAGCUUCCUUUAUAUAAAUUUACAUACGAGUGUUGAUCCAAGAUUAGUGAUUAAAGGAAUUAGUUACCGUAGGGAUAACAGCAUUAUCCUUUUUGAGAGUUCUUAUCGAAAAAAGGGUUUGUGACCUCGAUGUUGGACCAGAAUGUCCUAAAGAUGCAGAAGUCUUUAAGGGUUGGUCUGUUCGACCAUUAAAAUUCUACGUGAUC